rnacentral:rRNA from 1 species
GACGAACGCUGGCGGCGUGCUUAACACAUGCAAGUCGAGCGGUAAGGCCCUUCGGGUACGACGAGCGGCGAACGGGUGAGUAACACGUGGGUGACCUGCCUCUAGCUCUGGGAUAAGCCUGGGAAACUGGGUCUAAUACCGGAUAUGACUCCGCGGCGCAUGUUGUGGGGUGGAAAGCCUUGUGUGGCUAGAGAUGGGCCCGCGGCCUAUCAGCUUGUUGGUGGGGNGAUGGCCUACCAAGGCGACGACGGGUAGCCGGCCUGAGAGGGCGACCGGCCACACUGGGACUGAGACACGGCCCAGACUCCUACGGGAGGGCAGCAGUGGGGAAUCUUGCGCAAUGGGCGAAAGCCUGACGCAGCGACGCCGCGUGAGGGAUGACGGCCUGGUGUAAC